AGUGAACGCUGGCGGCAGGCCUAAUACAUGCAAGUCGAACGGCAGCACAGUAAGAGCUCGCCUCUACGGGUAGCGAGUGGCGGACGGGUGAGGCAUACAUAAGAAUCCACUAUUACGUGGGGGACAACGGAGGGACACAGACGCUAAUACCGCAUACGACCUACGGGAGAAAGCAAGAGAUCAACGCACUUUGCCUGAUUGAUAUAGAUGAUGCCGGAUUAGCUAGUUGGCGGGGUAAAGGCACACCAAGGCGACGAUCCGUAGCGGGUCUGAGAGGAUGAUCAGCCACACUGGAACUGAGACACGGUCCAGACUCCUACGGGAGGCAGCAGUGGGGAAUAUUGGACAAUGGGCGCAAGCCUGAUCCAGCCAUACCGCGUGGGUGAAGAAGGCCUUCGGGUUGUAAAGCCCUUUUGUUGGGAAAGAAAAGCAGCAGGUGAAUACCCCGCUGUUCUGACGGUACCCAAAGAAUAAGCACCGGCUAACUUCGUG
rnacentral:rRNA from 1 species